rnacentral:lncRNA from 1 species
AAUUUUUCCGCUGGGGGGUUUUGGCACCACGACCUUCGGGAGCUUAUUUUUGGGCGCGGCUUUGCCCGCGGCUUAUUUUUGGCACCCCGAGGCCCUGCGCAAAGUCUCGCCCCAUUUCGAGUCCGGCGGACGAACUUCGCCCGCGCCCCCCACCAAGGCUAUAGCCCACCCGUUUUUUGGCCAUUUUUCCGCUGGGGGGUUUUGGCACCACGACCUUCGGGCGCUUAUUUUUGGACGUGGCUGUGCCCGCGACUUCCCGCGGGCACCCCGAGGCCCCUCGCAAAGUCUCGCCCCAUUCCGAGUCCGGCGGACAAACUUCGCCCGCGCCCCCCACCAAGGCUAUAGCCCACCCGUUUUUUGGCCAUUUUUCCGCUGGGGUGUUUUGGCACCACGACCUUCGGGCGCUUAUUUUUGGAUGCGGCUGUGCCCGCGACUUCCCGCGGGCACCCCGAGGCCCCUCGCAAAGUCUCGCCCCAUUCCGAGUCCGGCGGACGAACUUCGCCCGCGCCCCCCACCAAGGCUAUAGCCCACCCGUUUUUUGGCCAUUUUUCCGCUGGGGGGUUUUGGCACCAAGACCUUCGGGCGCGGCUUUGUCCGCGGCUUAUUUUUGGCACCCCGAGGCCCCUCGCAAAGUCUCGCCCCAUUCCGAGUCCGGCGGACGAACUUCGCCCGCGCCCCCCACCAAGGCUAUUGCCCACCCGGUUUUUGGCCAUUUUUCCGCUGGGGGGUUUUGGCACCACGACCUUCAGGCGCUUAUUUUUGGACGCGGCUGUGCCCGCGACUUCCCGCGGGCACCCCGAGGCCCCUCGCAAAGUCUCGCCCCAUUCCGAGUCCGGCGGACGAACUUCGCCCGCGCUCCCCACCAAGGCUAUAGCCCACCCGUUUUUUGGCCAUUUUUCCGCUGGGGGGUUUUGGCACCACGAUCUUCGGGCGCUUAUUUUUGGGCGCGGCUUUGCCCGCGGCUUAUUUUUGGCGCCCCGAGGCCCCGCGCAAAGUCUCGCCCCAUUCCGACUCCGGCGGACGAACUUCGCCCGCGCCGCCCACCAAGGCUAUAGCCCACCCGUUUUUUGGCCAUUUUUCCGCUGGGGGGUUUUGGCACCACGACCUUUGGGCGCUUAUUUUUGGGCGUGGUUUUGCCCGCGGCUUAUUUUUGGCGCCCCGAGGCCCCGCGCAAAGUCUCGCCCCAUUCCGAGUCCGGCGGACAAACUUCGCCCGCGCCCCCCACCAAGGCUAUAGCCCACCCGUUUUUUGGCCAUUUUUCCGCUGGGGGGUUUUGGCACCACGACCUUCGGGCGCUUAUUUUUGGACGUGGCUGUGCCCGCGACUUCCCGCGGGCACCCCGAGGCCCCUCGCAAAGUCUCGCCCCAUUCCGAGUCCGGCGGACGAACUUCGCCCGCGCCCCCCACCAAGGCUAUAGCCCACCCAUUUUUUGGCCAUUUUUCCGCUGGGGGGUUUUGGCACCACGACCUUCGGGUGCUUAUUUUUGGACGCGGCUGUGCCCGCGACUUCCCGCGGGCACCUCGAGGCCCCUCGCAAAGUCUCGCCCCAUUCCGAGUCCGGCGGACGAACUUCGCCCGCGCCCCCCACCAAGGCUAUAGCCCACCCGUUUUUUGGCCAUUUUUCCGCUGGGGGGUUUUGGCACCACGACCUUCGGGCGCUUAUUUUUGGACGUGGCUGUGCCCGCGACUUCCCGCAGGCACCCCGAGGCCCCUCGCAAAGUCUCGCCCCAUUCCGAGUCCGGCGGAUGAACUUCGCCCGCGCCCCCCACCAAGGCUAUAGCCCACCCGUUUUUUGGCCAUUUUUCCGCUCAGAGGUUUUGGCACCAAGACCUUCCGGCGCUUAUUUUUGGGCGCGGCUUUGUCCGCGGCUUAUUUUUGGCACCCCGAGGCCCCUCGCAAAGUCUCGCCCCAUUCCGAGUCCGGCGGACGAACUUCGCCCGCGCCCCCCACCAAGGCUAUUGCCCACCCGGUUUUUGGCCAUUUUUCCGCUGCGGGGUUUUGGCACCACGACCUUCAGGCGCUUAUUUUUGGACGCGGCUGUGCCCGCGACUUCCCGCGGGCACCCCGAGGCCCCUCGCAAAGUCUCGCCCCAUUCCGAGUCCGGCGGACGAACUUCGCCCGCGCUCCCCACCAAGGCUAUAGCCCACCCGUUUUUUGGCCAUUUUUCCGCUGGGGGGUUUUGGCACCACGACCUUCGGGCGCUUAUUUUUGGGCGUGGCUUUGCCCGCGGCUUAUUUUUGGCGCCCCGAGGCCCCGCGCAAAGUCUCGCCCCAUUCCGAGUCCGGCGGACGAACUUCGCCCGCGCCCCCCACCAAGGCUAUAGCCCACCCGUUUUUUGGCCAUUUUUCCGCUGGGGGGUUUUGGCACCACGACCUUCGGGCGCUUAUUUUUGGGCGCGACUUUGCCCGCGGCUUAUUUUUGGCGCCCCGAGGCCCCGCGCAAAGUCUCGCCCCAUUCCGAGUCCGGCGGACGAACUUCGCCCGCGCCCCCCACCGAGGCUAUAGCCCACCCGUUUUUUGGCCAUUUUUCCGCUGGGGGGUUUUGGCACCACGACCUUUGGGCGCUUAUUUUUGGGCGCGGCUUUGCCCGCGGCUUAUUUUUGGCGCCCCGAGGCCCCGCGCAAAGUCUCGCCCCAUUCCGAGUCCGGCGGACGAACUUCGCCCGCGCCCCCCACCGAGGCUAUAGCCCACCCGUUUUUUGGCCAUUUUUCCGCUGGGGGGUUUUGGCACCACGACCUUCGGGCGUUUAUUUUUGGGCGCGGCUUUGCCCGCGGCUUAUUUUUGGCACCCCGAGGCCCCGCGCAAACUCUCGCCCCAUUCCGAGUCCGGCGGACGAACUUCGCCCGCGCCCCCCACCAAGGCUAUAGCCCACCCGUUUUUUGGCCAUUUUUCCGCUGGGGGGUUUUAGCACCACGACCUUCGGGCGCUUAUUUCUGGACGCGGCUGUGCCCGCGACUUCCCGCGGUCACCCCGAGGCCCCUCGCAAAGUCUCGCCCCAUUCCGAGUCCGGCGGACGAACUUCGCCCGCGCCCCCCACCAAGGCUAUAGCCCACCCGUUUUUUGGCCAUUUUUCCGCUGGGGGGUUUUGGCACCACGACCUUCGGGCGCUUAUUUUUGGGCGCGGCUUUGCCUGCGGCUUAUUUUUGGCACCCCGAGGCCCCUCGCAAAGGCUCGCCCCAUUCCGAGUCCGGCGGACGAACUUCGCCCGCGCCCCCCACCAAGGCUAUAGCCCACCCGUUUUUUGGCCAUUUUUCCGCUGGGGGGUUUUGGCACCACGACCUUCGGGCGCUUAUUUUUGGGCGCGGCUUUGCCCGCGGCUUAUUUUUGGUACCCCGAGGCCCCUCGCAAAGUCUCGCCCCAUUCCGAGUCCGGCGGACGAACUUCGCCCGCGCCCCCCACCAAGGCUAUAGCCCACCCGUUUUUUGGCCAUUUUUCCGCUGGGGGGUUUUGGCACCACGACCUUCGGGCGCUUAUUUUUGGGCGCGGCUUUGCCCGCGGCUUAGUUUUGGCACCCCGAGGCCCCUCGCAAAGUCUCGCCCCAUUCCGAGUCCGGCGGACGAACUUCGCCCGCGCCCCCCACCAAGGCUAUAGCCCACCCGUUUUUUGGCCAUUUUUCCGCUGGGAGGUUUUGGCACCACGACCUUCGGGCGCUUAUUUUUGGGCGCGGCUUUUCCCGCGGCUUAUUUUUGGCACCCCGAGGCCCCUCGCAAAGUCUCGCCCCAUUCCGAGUCCGGCGGACGAACUUCGCCCGCGCCCCCCACCA